UACGUAGGGUGCAAGCGUUGUCCGGAAUUAUUGGGCGUAAAGAGCUCGUAGGCGGUCUGCCGCGUCGGCUGUGAAAACCCGGAGCUCAACUCCGGGCCUGCAGUCGAUACGGGCAAACUGGAGUGUUGCAGGGGAGACUGGAAUUCCUGGUGUAGCGGUGAAAUGCGCAGAUAUCAGGAGGAACACCGAUGGCGAAGGCAGGUCUCUGGGCCACUACUGACGCUGAGAAGCGAAAGCAUGGGGAGCGAACAGG
rnacentral:rRNA from 1 species